GAUGAACGCUGGCGGCGUGCCUAAUACAUGCAAGUCGAGCGAACGGACGAGAAGCUUGCUUCUCUGAUGUUAGCGGCGGACGGGUGAGUAACACGUGGAUAACCUACCUAUAAGACUGGGAUAACUUCGGGAAACCGGGGCUAAUACCGGAUAAUAUUUUGAACCGCAUGGUUCAAAAGUGAAAGACGGUCUUGCUGUCACUUAUAGAUGGAUCCGCGCUGCAUUAGCUAGUUGGUAAGGUAACGGCUUACCAAGGCAACGAUGCAUAGCCGACCUGAGAGGGUGAUCGGCCACACUGGAACUGAGACACGGUCCAGACUCCUACGGGAGGCAGCAGUAGGGAAUCUUCCGCAAUGGGCGAAAGCCUGACGGAGCAACGCCGCGUGAGUGAUGAAGGUCUUCGGAUCGUAAAACUCUGUUAUUAGGGAAGAACAGAUGUGUAAGUAACUGUGCACAUCUUGACGGUACCUAAUCAGAAAGCCACGGCUAACUACGUG
rnacentral:rRNA from 1 species